ACUCAAAUGAAUUGACGGGGACCCGCACAAGCAGAGGAUGAUGUGGUUUAAUAUGACGCUACGCGUAGAACCUUACCGAGGCUUGACAUCCUUGGAAUCCCGCAGAAAUGCAGGAGUGCCGCAAGGAGCCAAGUGACAGGUGCUGCAUGGCCGUCGUCAGCUCGUGUCGUGAGAUGUUGGGUUAAGUCCCGCAACGAGCGCAACCCUUAUCGUAUGUUGUAUAUUUCAUGCGAGACUGCCCGGGCCAACCGGGAGGAAGGUGGGGUCGAAGUCAGGUCGGCAUGGCCCUUACGCCUCGGGCCACACACGUCAUACAAUGGCCGGUACAACGCGUCGCCAACCCGCGAGGGGGAGCUAAUCGCAACAAAACCGGUCCCAGUUCGGAUUGGAGGCUGCAACUCGCCUCCAUGAAGUCGGAUUUGCUAGUAAACGUGGGUCAGCAUACCACGUUGAAUACGUUCCCGGGUCUUGCACACACCGCCCGU
rnacentral:rRNA from 1 species